rnacentral:snoRNA from 1 species
AUGGUCCGGGGAAAGGCUCCCGUGUUGCUGAACCUGCCCGGUUGUGGGUACAGCCUUGUACCAGGCAGUCCGAUCCUGACCUCAGUAAAUUACCAGCAACAGUUUUUUUUCUGGGGUUUGAAUUUGCAAUAAUGGGCGUGAACAUUCUAGCCGCAGUUUGAUGAUCACGUAUGAUACUGCAAAUAGGA